AUGACUUCCUGUGUCCACAACAGCUGCAGGAUCCUGGCCGUGAGCUCUCUUUGAUCCCCAGGGAGCAGCUACAAGGCUGCAGCAGACAGAAACUCUCAGAUGGCAGGAAGUAAAUGGAGUUGAAGGUUUUUGUUUUGUUUUGAUUUUUUUUUUUUUUAAGACAAAGUCUACUCACAUGACCCAGACUAGCCUGAAGUUUUGGAGUUCUCCAAGUAGCCUAAGACUGACCUCGAACUCUUAACUACCCUCAUGCCUUAGCCUGUCAGGUGCUAGGAUUAUAGGCAUAUGCCACCACACCUAGUGCCAAUGAGCUUUGAAGACAAGAUGGUACUGAGGGAAGCAAAGCCUUCAACCUCAUUUGAAUCAAAACUGCAUCCGGCUGUGUCCUGACUCACCCUCUACUCCAGAAUGCUCUGUGGCUACAGAUCUGGGGGCACAGUUCCAGGUGCCUGGAGGCUCCUCAGGGCCCAUGAUUCUGAGCCAUACCAACUGCAGAGAAGCUGGCACAAGAGCCUAGAACAUGGCUGGAAGUUCACUUCUGUGGGAGGCAGCAGAGUCCAGAUGCGGCUGAGGUGAGGUCACAUGGAGUCAGAUCAGGACUACAAACUAUAGAAGACUGUGUGGAGACACAAUGCAGACAUGGUCACAGAAAAGAAGCCUGUGAUAGAAGAAGCUGAGACUAAGUCCUGCAGCUCUGAGGUCUGUGAAAGAAUGGAUUUCUGAGAGAAUGAAUAAAGAAGUAAUCAGAGCUCUUGCAGGAGGGGAGUUUUCCCCACCAUCAACUCAAGAGACAAGGCAGCAGCCACCUUGCCUCAGACCAGCUCAACUCAACAUGACCCAGUAUGCCAGAGCCACCACCUGCCACCAAGACACUGUCCUCUGCCAUGGAGGGUGGAUGUUCUUUUACAACCUAAGAGUACUUUCCAGGACUGAACCAUAUCCUCCAAAGCAAGUGAUCAAAGCUAUUUACCUGACUUUGAGAUACACUGACAGUAGUCCAUGCACUUCUGGAGUCCCUGCUUCUGGACAUCUCUGUUAAAGAUAAGUAAACUUCAUCCAGCCAUAAAAAUCACCAAGGGAACACAGACUGAGGACACUGUAGACAAUGUUAGACCCAUUCUCUCAUAGCAAGUACCAAUGCUAUGAAAAAUAAGGAUUUGACACACUGCCAGAGAAGCUAGUAAACAAGGAGGACCCUAAGAGAGACAUACAUGGUCCCCUGGAGAAGGGGAAAGGGACUAGAUCUCCUGAGCAAAUUGGGAGCAUCCGGGGAGGGGAGAGAGAUCUAGGAGAAUGAGAAGGGGAGAAGAGAAGGGGUGAGGAAGACAUGAUGGGACAGGGAGGUUGAGUUGGGGGAAGAACAGAAAAGAGCAAGAUAAGAGAUAAUAUAAUAGAGGGAGACAUUAUAGGUUUAAAGAGAAAUCAGGCAUCAGGGAAAUGUCUGGAGAUCUACAAAGAUGACACCAACUAACAAUCUAAGCAACAGAGGAGAGGCUACCUUAAAUGCCCUCUCCUGAUAAUGAGAUCAAUGGCUAAUUCAUAUGCCAUCGUAUAGCCUUCAUCCAGCAACUGGUGGAAGUAGAAGCAGACACCCACAGCUAAACCUUGAACUGAACUGAAAUCCAGUUGCACAGAAGGAGGACUGAUCAGCAAAGGGGUCCAGACCAGGCUGGUGAAACCCACAAAAACAGGAGAAAAACGCAGUUUUCACUCCUACCUCCUUUGUAGAGACUGUUAAUAACCUCCUUGAAGAGAAGAAGGGGAAAAAUAAGUCAUAAGGCAGUUACAUCAGUCGGCCAAGGGUUACACAGCUGCUGAGUGAGCAGAGGAGUGAGAUCCAAACCAGCUCCAAAUAAUGGAAGACAGCACAAUGGCCACCACUGGGGACAAUGAAAGGACGUCUUUCCCUACAGCUGCAUAUCAAGGAACUGUUUAAGAGGCAGAGGCAGGGUUAUCAAUAACAUACUGUUAAGUCAAAACAGCUGAGCUCCACUGGGUCUGUGCUCUUUGAAUUUCUCUGUGCUGAGUCAUGUUUAAUUUCCAUAACAGUGUGUGCUCAAGUAAAUGCACACACAGUUUUGCAUUAAUAGAGACGUCAAGGACAAAGUCUCUUAAACUUUAUAGUGUAUAAGAACCUCUUGCUAGAAGUGGUAAAAUAAUAAUGAUAAAUAAUAAUAAGAUAAAGUAAUUAAAUGAGUAUCUAAUGUCAAGUAUCCCUGAGCACCUAGAAUCUUGAAAUACCCACAGACCAUGCUACUUUAAGUAGUUUUACCUUAGAAAGCAGGAAUGUUACCAUGACAACAUUUUACAUUUUUAAAAAUCAUUCCUAUUGUUUAGAGAAGCAAGUUAGAAGGUGAGUAAGUACCUUGAGGCUAAGUCAUGCAGGAAAAUAUCCCCUCUUGGAUGUCAGACACACAUGAGGUGAGGCCCCAGGCUAAGCUCACUUGUGGGCUAUGGUGUCUGGGAAGAUGUGAGUGCCAGGCAGAGAGGCUUUGAUGGGCAAGUCAGGGUGUGGCAUCCUCACCACAAGACAGUGGUGGCAACAAGACAGUGGACCUGCAGUAACUAGCUGGCUCCUAUGACAGCAGGGGAGCUAGACACCCUUGCUCCUUGUGUUUGUGAGCAACUUGCUUUCUUCACUAUAUGUGCAUGUCUUUACCCAUUCUGCUUCCCAGACAGCUCUAAUUUUAUCAGAUAUUCCUCUCAGCCUUAAGCACUCUGUUAUAACUCUUCCACUCUCUGGCUGCUCCUCACACUCCCAAUCUGUCAUGGUUCAGACGCUCUGCAACUUCCCUUCCCUCUACCUGGAAUGCUUUCUCUCAUAUACCUAUAUGACUUUCCAGUUCAACUGGAAUUCCUUGCACGAUGCAGCCGCUAGGGUCAAACAUGGCAGCCCUCAACAUUUUCCUUCUCAGCUUCGCUUUCAUCUCAGUUAUAACUCUACCUAGCAUAUUGAAUGUCUAACUUAUUUGGGCAUAGUGUUUGCUCUGUUCAACUGUAAGCACCUUCAGUUCUGGGAUCUACUUGUUUUUACAGCUGUAUUUUCAGUGUCCAGAGGAACUCCUGGAACUUAGCAGACAUGCAAAUCUCUAUUUACUGUACAUGAACUGGGGUCAUUCUACUUAGGUUUCUGUGAGUCCAGUCUCUGCAUUGCAUUGUGUAGUCAUGCAUGGAGUCUCAAUGUGGUACAUGAAGAAAGAACUUUUGCCAGUAAAUGGAACCACCCUAGCUGUUCAUCAAUAGAUGAAUCGAUGCAGAAAAUGUGGUACAUGUACACAAUGGAAUUUUAUUCAGCUAUAAAGAAAAAUGAAAGUGUGAUGUUUGUCAGAAGAUAGAUGAAACUAGCAAAGUAAGCCAGACCAAGAAAGGCAAAUACUUUGUUUUAUCUCAUAUAGGGAAAUUGUGUGUGUGUGUGUGUGUGUGUGUGUGUGUGUGUGUGUGUGUGUGUUUAGGGUGUGUGUUGGGGGCAAGUGAGUGUUUAGGUGUAUGUCUGUGUAAUCAGGGUGUAUGUGUGGAGGAUAUGGGUGUUUAGGUGUGCAUGUGUGUUUAGCUCUGUGGGGAGUGGGGGGUAUUUAGGAGUGUAUGUGUAUGUUCAAGGGUGUAUGUGUGUGUGUGUGUGUUUAGG
rnacentral:lncRNA from 1 species